rnacentral:rRNA from 1 species
UACAGAGGCCUCGAGCGUUAGGCGGAAUCACUGGGCUUAAAGCGUGUGUAGGCGGACUUCUAAGUACCUUGUGAAACUCCCACGGCUCACCCGUGGAACUGCUUGGUAUACUGGUUGUCUUGAGCCUUCUAGGGGCGAGUGGAACAAAUGGUGGAGCGGUGAAAUGCGUAGAUAUCAUUUGGAACGCCAAUGGUGAAAACAACUCGCUGGGGAAGUGCUGACGCUGAGACACGAAAGCCAGGGGAGCGAACGGG